GGAAUAUUGGUCAAUGGGCGAGAGCCUGAACCAGCCAAGUAGCGUGCAGGACGACGGCCCUAUGGGUUGUAAACUGCUUUUAUGCGGGGAUAAAGUGCGGCACGUGUGCCGUUUUGUAGGUACCGUAUGAAUAAGGACCGGCUAAUUCCGUUCCAGCAGCCGCGGUAAUACGGAAGGUCCGGGCGUUAUCCGGAUUUAUUGGGUUUAAAGGGAGCGCAGGCUGAAGAUUAAGCGUGACGUGAAAUGUCCCGGCUCAACCGUGGAACUGCGUCGCGAACUGGUUUUCUUGAGUGAGUACGACGUCAGCGGAAUUUGGGGUGUAGCGGUGAAAUGCUUAGAUAUCACGAAGAACCCCGAUUGCGAAGGCAGCUGACGAGUCCUUAACUGACGCUAAAGCUCGAAAGUGCGGGUAUCGAACA
rnacentral:rRNA from 1 species